rnacentral:rRNA from 1 species
GACGAACGCUGGCGGCGUGCCUAAUACAUGCAAGUAGAACGCUGAAGAGAGGAGCUUGCUCUUCUUGGAUGAGUUGCGCACGGGUGAGUAACGCGUAGGUAACCUGCCUUGUAGCGGGGGAUAACUAUUGGAAACGAUAGCUAAUACCGCAUAACAAUGGAUGACACAUGUCAUUUAUUUGAAAGGGGCAAUUGCUCCACUACAAGAUGGACCUGCGUUGUAUUAGCUAGUAGGUGAGGUAACGGCUCACCUAGGCGACGAUACAUAGCCGACCUGAGAGGGUGAUCGGCCACACUGGGACUGAGACACGGCCCAGACUCCUACGGGAGGCAGCAGUAGGGAAUCGUCGGCAAUGGGUGCAACCCUGACCGAGCAACGCCGCGUGAGUGAAGAAGGUCUUCGGAUCGUAAAGCUCUGUUGUAAGUCAAGAACGAGUGUGAGAGUGGAAAGUUCACACUGUGACGGUAGCUUACCAGAAAGGGACGGCUAACUACGUG